rnacentral:rRNA from 1 species
GUUUGAUCAUGGCUCAGAUUGAACGCUGGCGGCAGGCCUAACACAUGCAAGUCGAGCGGAAACGAGUUGUUUGAACCUUCGGGGGACGACAACGGCGUCGAGCGGCGGACGGGUGAGUAAUGCCUGGGAAAUUGCCCUGAUGUGGGGGAUAACCAUUGGAAACGAUGGCUAAUACCGCAUGAUAGCUUCGGCUCAAAGAGGGGGACCUUCGGGCCUCUCGCGUCAGGAUAUGCCCAGGUGGGAUUAGCUAGUUGGUGAGGUAAGGGCUCACCAAGGCGACGAUCCCUAGCUGGUCUGAGAGGAUGAUCAGCCACACUGGAACUGAGACACGGUCCAGACUCCUACGGGAGGCAGCAGUGGGGAAUAUUGCACAAUGGGGGGAACCCUGAUGCAGCCAUGCCGCGUGUGUGAAGAAGGCCUUCGGGUUGUAAAGCACUUUCAGUUGUGAGGAAAGGUGUGUAGUUAAUAGCUACAUACUGUGACGUUAGCAACAGAAGAAGCACCGGCUAACUUCGUGCCAGCAGCCGCGGUGAUACGAGGGGUGCAAGCGUUAAUCGGAAUUACUGGGCGUAAAGCGUUCGUAGGCGGUUGAAUAAGCAAGAUGUGAAAGCCCAGGGCUCAACCUUGGAACUGCAUUUUGAACUGUUCGACUAGAGUACUGUAGAGGGGGGUAGAAUUUCA